UACGUAGGGGGCUAGCGUUGUCCGGAUUUAUUGGGCGUAAAGAGCGUGUAGGCGGCCAGGUAGGUCUGCUGUGAAAACUCGAGGCUCAACCUCGAGACGUCGGCGGAAACCAUCUGGCUAGAGUCCGGAAGAGGAGAGUGGAAUUCCUGGUGUAGCGGUGAAAUGCGUAGAUAUCAAGAGGAACACCUGAGGUGAAGACGGGUUGCUGGGCCAACACUGACGCUGAUGCGCGAAAGCCAGGGGAGCAAACGGG
rnacentral:rRNA from 1 species